ACCUGCUCCCUGACAGGGCUACCCCUCAACCAGCCUAGGCAAUUGCCUACUUCAGCACAGAAAGCAUCCGCUCCAGAGCUGAGUACCUCUCCAAAAGAGCUUUGAAAUGCAUCACAAUCCAUGAGCAACAUCAAGAUAAAUGGGCAGCCACACCAAUGAGGAUAUGGAGUAGAGGAAAUGCUGGAAGAUAUGGAGACAUAUUAAAUUAUCAAUGAAGAAAAGAAGAUUCCUUCAGUGAGCAGUCGACCACAGGUUUGACCUCUGAUGAAAUCUCUCCUUUCACUACUGAUGUGGACAUGCAGAGGCAAGCCUAAUGCCUCCUAAUGCCUUUGUGAUCACCUCACAAGGCACCAUACUCAC
rnacentral:lncRNA from 1 species